UCCCCCGUGGCGCAAUUGGCUAGCGCGUUCGACUGUUAGAAUGGCAGAGUAUCGAGAGGUUGGUGGUUCAAGCCCACCCGGGGGAG
rnacentral:tRNA from 1 species